rnacentral:lncRNA from 1 species
AUGGCGCCUCUGGUCCGGUCUGACUCUGAGGGCUGUUUAUUUUGAUUUUAUACGUGGGUCAUCCCCUCAGUGAUGAGGGGAUAGUAGUCGUUCGACACUAUUUGUUUAUUUACCAUUCUGACCUGUCAAAACAUAUAGCAAUAAACUUUUGAACUGGUGAUGGUGGCCAUGCCGGGACCAUGUCCUCAUCAGGCAAAGUAGUGCACUGUGAACUUGGGGCUCUGCCCUUAUUAUUGUAACCAAAACUUAACUGCAGUAUGUUUAUGUUCUGUCGUGUGGAAGAAAAGCUAUUUUUUCUGGUGUAAUAAUACCCUGGUCUGCAGGUAAGGGAACACUGAAAAUAGGAUUAUUACUGUCAGGCCGUGUGUAUGCCCUGGUUCAGAUAAUCAGAUUAUCAUAAUCUUAGUACAUUGUGAACUACGUAGUUUACAGAGUAAGUUAUAAGACAAUUACUGCUAAAUCAAACAAAAAUCUCAGGGCAACCGCUUCAUGAUGGUCCAAUUUUUGUUAUUAGAACUUUUAAUCUUGGCAAAAUUUGCUGUUGGAUAUGCCAAGUGAUGGCUCGUUGCUGGCGGACUCUUGUUAAGCUUAAUUGAUAUAUGAAACUUUAUUAUUUGGAGCUGAUAUUUUUAGCAUAGUCAUGAUUUAGUAUUGUACGCAAUCUAUGUUUUUUUCCAAGAUUUUUAGUGUCCUAAAAUAUAUAAACAAAUUAACCAUUGUUAACUUUGUUUAUUUAUGAGGAGAGGCAAAAUAGUCAUUUCAGUGCAAAAUAAUAUUUUACUGUGUGGCUCUUAUCAUGUAGAGUCUAGAAGAUUUUAUGGUAUAAUUUUGGAGCACUUAUAUGAUUUCAUAUCUAGUUUAUAAAAAUAUUUUCUUAGGUACGAUGUCCACCAACCAAUUUUUCUAUAAUUGGAGUGUUUUUUAGAAAUCGCUCGAAAAUAGGUGUCCGUCAGCAAAGAGCCAUCACUUAGCAUGUCCAACCGUAAAUUUACCCUUUAAUCUUUGUAAAUAUAUCACAAAUUUGUGUGAACUUUAAUAGCUCAUUCAAACAAGAGUUAGGGGGUGUUUGAGACUGCUUUACAAACUCUGCUUCACAAACUCCAUUAUGGAGUAGCUUCACAAAAAACUAGAGUUUAUAGAGUACCUCUUUAGUGCUCACAAAACUCUAUUUUUUCCCCCUCUAACUGAGUGCGUGGAGCUGAAAUCAUUUGGUAAAAAAAACAUGAAGCGGAGCUGAAAAAUGUGAAGUAGAACAGUUCUAAACAACCUUAGGUUAGAGAAAGGACAACGAAUGUUGUAGACUAGCGAAGUCAGAAUCAAAGAAAAGGUCCUUCUCAUUCUUACCACAAAGCUUGCAUGGGAGUACCUUGAAAGUUUGUAGUGAUUGUCAAUGUGGGGGGAUUAUCUUGAAGCCCACGUAUUGCUAAUGCAUGUGAAAUGAGUCUCCAUGGAAAAGUUUUUUCUUUCUUCUUGUGCAUCGAAACACUUAUUUGGAGAAGCCUGAUCUAGGGAUUAAUCUUCUGGCUGCUUGAGUUGGGACAGUCACCCGAAUCUGUGCAGAGAGAUACAUAUAGGCUAGCUAUAUAGGCUUAACACAAUACUGUAUUUAUGAGAUUUUGUUUUCAAUAGCUACAACCUCGAUUACAGAGGUCAGAUAUAUAUGAGGAAGAGUGGUGCCCCAAGGGGGAAUAAUGAAGUGAUCAUGGACGUGCUCCCUAGUCUGGACUCUAGGGAGAUGACCAAAUACUAGAAUCAACUUUUUUUCCCUUCUCGAAUACACACGAAUACACACAAUUGUACAUAUCUUUGCCAAACUUUUCUCUGGGAAACCAAUUAGCUGGAGAGAGUGGAUUCUUCACCACACUGCCUCCUUCCAUACCCUGAUCAAUGGCGCCACCAGCUUUCUUCGGACAAUUAUCAACGACAAACUCAACACCUACCGCUCUAUUACUUUGGUCAGAAUUAACAAUGGUGCAGCCACCUCCUUCUGGUUUGAUCACUGGUUGCCCGAUGCCCCCCUCUUCUCCUCCCACCAUGCCUUGUUCACCCACACCACCGUGCCUAAUAUUUCGGUGCAGCAUGUCUUCAGUAGUGGUUUUGAUUUACAUUUGUGCCUUCGACUUACUGACGCUGCGAGACAGCAGCUGCGUAGCCUUCUUUCUUCACUGCAGAAUGUCAACCUUGGAGAAGGAGAUGAUGUGCGAGUAGUCAAACUAACGGGGCGCCCAUACAUGACCAGACAUGCAUACACCACGCUCGAUGAUUCUGGGGACUCUACAGACAUACAUGGCAGGCGGAUCUGGGGGACAAGGCUGCCCAACAAGGUGAAAGUCUUCGCCUGGCUAUACUUCAAAGACCGGCUAAGCACAAAGACCAACCUCCACGCCAAGCACGUUGUUGACAGCGAACGUUGUGAGAGAUGCUCGCAGGCUGCAGAAGACAUGCAUCAUGUCUUCUUCGGGUGUGUGCGCAGCCGUUCGGUUUGGUCAAGGAUACACAUGAUUCAUGUAGAAGCCCUUUCAGAUAACGAAAGCUGGUAUGCAAACACGCCGACCAACCUCGAUGCUUCAUUGUGGCCCUUCGUCUACCUAGCAAUCUUUUGGAGGAUUUGGGAUGACCGCAACGGCCAUGUGUUUCGUAGCGAGCGAUUCUGUAACCAUUCUGUCCUAGCUAAAGUCUGUAACGAUCUAAUUGUAUGGCGCAAACAACUCCCGCCUGUGCUUUGAAACGACCUUCUUGGCCGGUGUAACUACAUCCGCACUUGUAACUUGUACUCCACUGCUACCCCCGUUAAUGGGUAGGUGCAUUCGAAAUGGAAAAGGUGGGGAAACUCUCCCCCACGUUUAAUUUUCAAAAAGAAGAAGAUAGUUUUUAAACAUCAUUAUGUUCAACGAUAUAUCUAUCUAAUUACCGAAGUCUAUACCCAACUAGGCCUAUCACAACCUGUGCCCACCUUGUCGGAGUAUCAUAUAAUACGAUACUAGGUGAUUUCUCCGGUCGCAUCGCCGCAGGAACAUAAAAGUGAUUUCAGUUAAGUUAGAAGGGAAUAGGCUGUAAAAGUAAUCACACACACUAGGUAUACUUAUUUUGGGUAAACAAUACAAAAAAGGAAUGUUUCUAAGGAAUCAAAUAAUUGUUUGAGGAGACCGGUUAUUAAUUAAUCGAUCACAUCGGUGAUGAUCGGAGCAAAAAGUCUUAUUUGUUGGUGCCUGAUGAAAUGCAAGCCGUACAAAAGAAGUAAAACAAACAACAACUUCCGCGGGUUGUGUCAUAGGAUGAUGAUGGUGGCCAUCAUAUAUAUAUCAUGCAUAUAAACAUAUGUGCUCCAUCCGAUCCCUAGUCAGUCCUUGCCGCCGCCGCGUGCUGCUACUCUGUUGCAGGUGGUAUGGACAGGAUCCAAUUGUCUCCGGAGACAAAUUGGGUUCCAAGAAAGGGUGCGACAUCGGUUUUGUUUAUCCCCACCGCACCACUCGGAACACCGUAGUUCUUGUAUGAUAUAAAGAGGAACGGGGCAAACUCCCUACAUGCACACGCAACAAAUUAAACAAUAUAUAUAAUAAGUGGAGUGCAUAUAAGUAUUGAAUAAAUAAUAAACACAAUAAUAUGUAUAUGAUCUGAGGUCAGUAAUGGUACCGGUUGAACUGAAAUUUAGCCCCUGCUUGGCUAUCGUCAGAGCCAGAGACGAUUAGAGGAAAAAGGUCGUAUCCUAUGUUGGUGUAGGAGUAGACGACAGGCCAGCCCGCCCUUCCUAGGAAGAUAAAACUUUGCCCUGUGAUGGUGCAUGUCUUGAAAGAGAAACCGCCGUCGGCCGCCGCAGGCGACAAGGUCAAGGGCGGCUUUGCCACCGGCAGGUCCCCGAGGUAAUCAGUGGCGGAUUUGGAGACAAUGUUGCAGUCCUCGUAAAAGGACCUUGCAUUGCCGAAGAUGAAGUCGAAGGUGCCGUUGAUUGUGCACGAUUUAUAGUAGUGCAGUCCCUUAUGGUCAUACAGGGCGCCAUGCCCGCCGUCGACGGUGCAUUUGUAGAAGGUGGCCUUGGAUCCUGCCACUCGCAGCGCUGGCGCCAUGGUUGCGCUAGUCACCUCGCCGAUCUUCCCUUGAUUAUCCCUCUUCAGCUCCGGCUCCGGCGCGUCGUUCCUGAACAAGAUGCCGCUGGCAAUGAAGAAGUCCGACUCGAUGGUCACGCUGCUGCUUCCUUCAGCUCCCAGGGGCUUGCCGUCCUUGCCGAGGGUGGCGGCGGUGUCGUUCCAGGCGAUGAUGGCAGGGGCCUCGGGACUGGUGGAGGCCAAGGUGACGAACGGCUUGUUCUUUCCCAGGAACAACUUCUCACGGUACACGGCGCCGGGCUGGAUACUGAUGAUGUACCGUUUGGUGUUGCCGUCGGGGAUCUUGGCGAUGGCCUCGCCGAUGCUGUUGAGGUAGAUAGCAGGAUCUGAGGUACUACUAUCGUCGGCGGGUUCGACGUGGAGGACCACCCUGUUAGCCUCGGCUGCGGAGAGUGCAGCGUCCUUCUUGCCGCACGUGCACCCCGCUGCUGCAUCUUUGGCAACCUGCUCCUUUAUCCACCCCUGCAACAUGGUAUGCUGCUGCUGAUGCUCCUGCAUCUGCUGCUUCAGCUGCUGCUGCUCCUGCUCCUGCUCCUGCGCGCAUGAUGACGACGGCGCCAUCAUCAGCAGCACCAGGAGGAGGAUCAAGGACGACGAUGGUAAUACUAGUAGUUGCACCAUGAUGAUGUAUAUAUUCUCUAUCAACAAUAUUCUAUGGCUUAAUUUGGCUUUGGUUUCUUCACUCCUCACCUUCGUCCCUCCUGCGCUCCAUCCUUAAUUAUAUAGUAUAUAUAUAUAUAUAUAUAUAUAUAUAGCUAGUAGCUAGGCUAGAUAGAUAGUUAAUGGAUCGAGCGAGAGUGGUGUGUGUGUGUGGCUGACAUCGAUAGAUGGUCCAUCGAUCGAUCAAGAGCAUUGCUAUUAAUUAGCUAGCUAGUGUUCCGCCACUUGUGUCGCAUUGCCAACGGAUCGGAAUAGAUCAUCCAACGUACGAUCACUACUGUUAGGCAUUAUUAGUGGCUAUAUAUAACCUAGCUAAUUUCGGACAAUGCAUGCAUGCUCUGCUGCCUGGGCCGGCCGCGGCCGGGCACUGAGCCCGGCCGCCUUGUCCCAAGCGACGACCAGGCACCUGAGGUUUUGUCGGAUCUGCCUUCUUCAGGCCAGCGAUCGGUACUUGUCCACCUUUCAAAAGACGAUCUCGAUCAUCUCAAAUAAUAAAAAAACAACAACAGAAAUUAUGCAAACUUUGUACUUGACGAACUUUUUCUUUAUAAAUCAUUUAUUCAUGCAAAGAUGUGUUUCAAUUUCUCUUAUUUGAAAUUUGAAAUCUUCAAACAAUCUCGGAUGGAGGAACGAAUAAAACAAAAGUUGCAGAUUUCGAAAAGCUCUGCAACUUCGUCGCUAUUGACUACUUUUUCAUUUAAAAUCAUCUAUGCAUGAAAAAUCUACGUUCAAAUUACUCACAUUUGAAAUUUGAUUUUUUUUUCAAAUAAUCUCAAGUGGAGAAAUGACUAAAUUAAAAGUUGCGGAUCUCGAAGAGUUAUACAACAAAGUGUGAUAUGAGUGGAGUGGUUAGGUCCUGGGCUUGAUCCUUGCAGCCAUGAAGCGCAUGUCUUUCACACAAAAAAAUUUUCAUGCCUUGUGACUAGGCACCGGCGCGCGAAAAAUCUCAUGCCCAGUCACUUGGGACCAAUAGAUAGAUUGAUAGGUAGAUAUACACCGAUCAGUGUAGACGAUGAUAUUUCAAAGCACAUAAAAAGUAUUAAUUAUACAUAGCACUUUCCAUUUCUAGAUGUUAGAGGAAGAGAGAUAUGAGAAGUAAAUAAAAUUUUGUUUCGAUUUACAAUAGGAUAUAUAAUUCAUUAUUAAUCCCAUAACAUACUGAAUCUACAAAAUAAUUAACACUCUCAAUAAUAUAAUAUAAUAUAAUAUAAUAUAAUAUAAUAUAAUAUAAUAUAAUAUAAUAUAAUAUAAUAUAAUAUAAUAUAAUAUAAUAUAAUAUAAUAUAAUAUAAUAUAAUAUAAUAUAAUAUAAUAUAAUAUAAUAUAAUAUAAUAUAAUAUAAUAUAAUAUAAUAUAAUAUAAUAUAAUAUAAUAUAAUAUAAUAUAAUAUAAUAUAAUAUAAUAUAAUAUAAUAUAAUAUAAUAUAAUAUAAUAUAAUAUAAUAUAAUAUAAUAUAAUAUAAUAUAAUAUAAUAUAAUAUAAUGUAAUGUAAUAUAAUAUAAUAUAAUAUAAUAUAAUAUAAUAUAAUUAAAAUUGAAGAAUUUUGUUUGUAUUCAUACUUAAGUUCAUACAUAGUUAUUAGUGUGAUUAGUUUUACGGCCUAUUCUCUUCUAACUCUAACUCGAUCGAAAUCGCUUUAACAUUCAUGCGGCGAUGUGGGCGGGAAAAUCACCUAGUAUUAUAUUAUAUGAUACUCCGACUAGUUUGGCACAUAAUGAGAUAGAUAAUCUCUCUGAUUUCAUAAAGGACGUCAUUUUGGACAACGACAGGGCCUCAAAAGAAUAAUUGACCAUUAUUUUUUACUAUAAAAUAUUUAUAAAAUCUAUUCAAACUAUACUUUUAUUAAACUAUAUUUUGAGGUGAAAGUACAAGUUAUUAGAUAGGAUUAAAAAGUUAGUUUUAUUUUCAAAGGGCAUGUCCUUUGGGAAUUGUGUUCCUUUGUGACACUCCUUCACUUUCACAAAUAUAUAUAUAUAUAUAUAUAUAUAUAUAUAUAUAUAUAUAUAUAUAUACAAGUAACUACUCCGUCCACUUAGCGGGUACGUUAAAAAUCCAAUAGGAAGACGCCUUCGUUGGACGGCUUCGUUGACUUCCAACUAGAUUCACGGCUGGAUGCAUGGCACAUUUGAUUUGAAUGCCGCACGGAGAAAACAAAAGGUACAUUAGAUUAUAGGUAUACAUACAUAUUUUGGAAUAUAGUAUGUAUACAUACUUUUAAAAAUAAAGUAUUUGUAUAUACUUUUGAGAGAGUAUUUAUACAUAAUUUUUAAAAUAAAGUAUGCAUACAUACGUCAAGAUUUACAUAGUAUAAGUAUAUACUUAAACAUUAGAAAAACCAUUAUUUUAAUCAUAGGUAGUAUGAAAUGAUACUCUAAUCUGUGAAGUAUCAACUGGUACAUAGUGGCAAGAGGCGUAUGCAGAGUUGCGGAUAUACUGCAUGCGUAUUUUCCUAAGUAUAUCUACAUACAUGAUUUCCUGAGUAUAUCUACAUACAUGGUUGAAAGACAAGGAGAAUGCUGUGUGCGCCACCGAUGGCAAGAGGAGUGUACUGUGUGGAUGCCACCAGACGUCGCAUCAACUGGAUCCUCCAUUUUGACCGGGUAUAGUUGAUGCUGCUGCCGAUGAAAUGACGCCGCGGCAAGGUAUAGACCGCCCUCGGAGAUUGCCGUGCCCACUGGUUAGAGCGUCGUAUCGUGAGGUGCCGUACGGGUCGAGCCAAGCACCUGCUGAAAGGACAAAAAUGUCACGGGAUCCACAGCCUUCUGGAUGGAGUCCAAUGCGUCGUCGGAGAGGAAGUGGCCGCAGCCCAGAGUCCUUGUGCGGGGAUGGGGAGCCAAACGCGUCGCCUUCGUCAUGGUCGAUGGCCGGCGACAGCGUGAGCUCUAGCAACCCUGUCGACAUGGCGGCGAGGUGCAGAUCUGGAGGCGAACCACGCGAGCACGUCGGCGACGGGUAGGAGCACUGGAAUGUCGGCGGCGAGCACGGCUGCAAGAUGCGCAUGGUCGUUUGCUGAGAUGUGCAGCAGAUCGCCGGUGCUCCAGCACAGCGCGGCCACCCGAGGUAAACGGCGGCGGUGGUGGCAGACGGGAAACCUGCGAGGCAAAGCUUCCGCAAAAUUCCAGAUUCCUUUCGGUGACCGAGGAAAAUAUAAAGUGGUGCAAGCCGGUAAUUUCGGAUCAGUUGAUGAUGAUCGUAAAAUAAAUAAAUUAAUAAUUAAUUAAAUAUGGCGAUCUAUACUUAUAUACUCCUAACGGGUAGCGACGUAUACGUUGUGAUCCAAUAAGACUUCUCUUCUCACCGUGGCUCGAUCAGAGUAGUUAUAUAUAUAUAUAUAUAUAUAUAUAUAUAUAUAUAUAUAUAUAUAUAUAUAUUCUACACUCUAGGUGUAGAAUAUUAUUCUACACCGCAAUAUAUAUAGUUAUGUUAUUAAGAGCAUAGGGCUUCCAAUAAUUAACGAAAGCUCUAGCCCAAAUUGUUCCUACCUGAUUCCACCAGACUAGGUCCAUCCAACGGUUCAACCCCACACCAAACCAAAUCACGAGUCCCCUCCUGCCCUUCUCCUCCCUCUCUCCACAUUCAUUUUGAAAUUGAAAUUGUCUCUUUCUCUCUCCUCCGGCUCCGGGCACAGGCAGGAGGCUGAGCCCCUCCGAUCCCAGCGGCCCUCCUCAUUCAUGGAGUUGCUCCCCAGCCCAUGGCGUCGUUCUACAUCAGGUAUAAUAUAAUAUAAUAUAAUAUAAUAUAAUAUAAUAUAAUAUAAUAUAAUAUAAUAUAAUAUAAUAUAAUAUAAUAUAAUAUAAUAUAAUAUAAUAUAAUAUAAUAUAAUAUAAUAUAAUAUAAUAUAAUAUAAUAUAAUAUAAUAUAAUAUAAUAUAAUAUAAUAUAAUAUAAUAUAAUAUAAUAUAAUAUAAUAUAAUAUAAUAUAAUAUAAUAUAAUAUAAUAUAAUAUAAUAUAAUAUAAUUAAAAUUGAAGGAUUUUGUUUGUAUUCAUACUUAGUUUAUACAUAGUUAUUAGUGUGAUUAGUUUUACGGCCUAUUCUCUUCUAACUCUAACUCGAUCGAAAUCGCUUUAACAUUCAUGCGGCGAUGUGGGCGGAAAAAUCACCUAGUAUUAUAUUAUAUGAUACUCCGACUAGUUUGGCACAUAAUGAGAUAGAUAAUCUCUCUGAUUUCAUAAAGGACGUCAUUUUGAACAACGACAGGGUCUCAAAAGAUAAUUGACCAUUAUUUUUUACUAUAAAAUAUUUAUAAAAUCUAGUCAAACUAUACUUUUAUUAAACUAUAUUUUGAGGUGAAAGUAAAAAGUUAUUAGAUAGGAUUAAAAAGUUAGUUUUAUUUUCAAAGGGCAUGUCCUUUGGGAAUCGUGUUCCUUUGUGACACUCCUUCACUUUCACAAAUAUAUUUCAAAGGUCAAUGAAAGCAGCCCCCGAGCUAAUCAUAAUUAGGAGUUUUCAAAAACUUUGAAACUUUGCACACCGAUAGUGCAUCCAUAGAUACACAUUGCCCCCGAUCAAUGAAAGCUGCCCCCCGAGCUAAUCAUAGUAGUCGUUCGACACUAUUUGUUUAUUUACCAUUCUGACCUGUCAAAACAUAUAGCAAUGAACUUUUGAAAUUAUCUCUGAUUCUUGUACUAGUCAACUUGGUCUUGCUAGGAGUUGGAGUCCGCACCAUCUGGUUGCUGCUCAUAUGUGCAUAUGUGCUGAGAGUUCAGGGUUACCGUACGUGACUUUCCCCGUCUGAUCCCUAGCUGGAGCUUGGAGUUCAAGGGUUAUCGAUCCCGUCAGCGAUCUUUUUUUUUAAAACUUACAAUGGCUCAGGGCCUUGCAUUAGGUCUUGUUUAGUUCUCAAUUUUUUUUUUGCAAAUUUUUCAGAUUUUCUACACAUCGAAUCUUACACGCGGCACAUGCAUGCAGUAUUAAAUAUAGAUAAAAAAAUAACAGUUUAUCUGUAAUUUGCG